rnacentral:rRNA from 1 species
UACGAAGGGGGCUAGCGUUGUUCGGAAUUACUGGGCGUAAAGCGCGCGUAGGCGGUUUUGCAAGCCAGAGGUGAAAUGCCUGAGCUCAACUCAGGAAUGGCCUUUGGGACUGCGAGGCUUUGAGGACUGGAGAGGUGAGUGGAAUUCCCGGUGUAGCGGUGAAAUGCGCAGAUAUCGGGAAGAACACCCGUGGCGAAGGCGGCUCUCUGGGACGGUACUGACGCUGAGACGCGAAAGCGUGGGGAGCGAACAGG